UACGUAGGGUGCGAGCGUUGUCCGGAAUUAUUGGGCGUAAAGAGCUCGUAGGCGGUGUGUCGCGUCGGCCGUGAAAACCUGCAGCUUAACUGUGGGCGUGCGGUCGAUACGGGCAUCACUGGAGUUUGGCAGGGGAGACUGGAAUUCCUGGUGUAGCGGUGAAAUGCGCAGAUAUCAGGAGGAACACCGGUGGCGAAGGCGAGUCUCUGGGCCGAUACUGACGCUGAGGAGCGAAAGCGUGGGGAGCGAACAGG
rnacentral:rRNA from 1 species